UGGAUUCGAUCCUGCAACUUCCAACUCGUUUUCAAAUGGAGUGAAGAAACACAUCCAUAGAUCUUGACCUUGCCCCUGAACAUAAGUUCUCAGCCUUUCUUUCCACCAUCCCCAAUCAUUGAUGUGAUUUAGUUUUGGCGGCUUUGUGCUUGUACCAGUUUCACUGUCGUUCUGCAUCAUGGCUUGAAUGCUGCUGCUUUGAUUUGUGACCAAUGCCCAUUGAUUUGCAGUUAUCAUUGCAGCUUGAGCUGAUGAUUGUGGAGUCAAAGUUGUUGUAGUCCACGCGGAUGGAUCCCACUGACCGUUUGUUCCCAUUUUAUAAAAAUUAAUAUAUUAAGU
rnacentral:lncRNA from 1 species